UACGUAGGGUGCAAGCGUUGUCCGGAAUUAUUGGGCGUAAAGAGCUCGUAGGCGGUCUGUCGCGUCGGCUGUGAAAACUCGGGGCUCAACCCCGAGCCUGCAGUCGAUACGGGCAGACUAGAGUGCUGUAGGGGAGACUGGAAUUCCUGGUGUAGCGGUGAAAUGCGCAGAUAUCAGGAGGAACACCGAUGGCGAAGGCAGCUCGCUGGGACGGUACUGACGCUGAGGCGCGAAAGCGUGGGGAGCAAACAGG
rnacentral:rRNA from 1 species